GACGAACGCUGGCGGCAAGCUUAACACAUGCAAGUCGAACGCCGUAGCAAUACGGAGUGGCAGACGGGUGAGUAACACGUGGGAACGUGCCUUUCGGUUCGGAACAACUGAGGGAAACUUCAGCUAAAACCGGAUACGCCCUUCGGGGGAAAGUUUACGCCGAAAGAUCGGCCCGCGUCAGAUUAGGUAGUUGGCGGGGUAAUGGCCCACCAAGCCGAUGAUCUGUAGCUGUUCUGAGAGGAAGAUCAGCCACACUGGGACUGAGACACGGCCCAGACUCCUACGGGAGGCAGCAGUGGGGAAUAUUGGACAAUGGGCGCAAGCCUGAUCCAGCUAUGCCGCGUGGAUGAAGAAGGCCUUCGGGUUGUAAAGUCCUUUCGGCGGGGAAGAUAAUGACGGUACCCGCAGAAGAAGCCCCGGCUAAUUUCGUGCCAGCAGCCGCCGCGGUAA
rnacentral:rRNA from 1 species